rnacentral:piRNA from 1 species
GAUUCCUAGCUGGUGGAGGCUUGGGCG